CUUAAGGAAUUGACGGGACCGCACAAGCGGUGGAUGAUGUGGUUUAAUUCGAUGCAACGCGAAAACUUUACCCACCUUUGACAUGUACGGAACCUUUAGAGAUAGAGGGGUGCUCGAAAGAGAGCCGUAACAUAGGUGCUGCAUGGCUGUCGUCAGCUCGUGUCGUGAGAUGUUGGGUUAAGUCCCGCAACGAGCGCAACCCUUGUCAUUAGUUGCUACAUUCAGUUGGGCACUCUAAUGAGACUGCCGGUGACAAGCCGGAGGAAGGUGGGGAUGACGUCAAGUCCUCAUGGCCCUUAUAGGUGGGGCUACACACGUCAUACAAUGGCUGGUACAAAGGGUUGCCAACCCGCGAGGGGGAGCCAAUCCCAUAAAGCCAGUCGUAGUCCGGAUCGUAGUCUGCAACUCGACUACGUGAAGUCGGAAUCGCUAGUAAUCGUGGAUCAGAAUGUCACGGUGAAUACGUUCCCGGGUCUU
rnacentral:rRNA from 1 species